UACGAAGGGGGCUAGCGUUGCUCGGAAUACUGGGCGUAAAGCGUGCGCAGGCGGUUUUGUAAGCCAGAUGUGAAAUCCCCGGGCUUAACCUGGGAAUGGCAUUUGGGACUGCAAGGCUUGAGUGCGGCAGAGGAGACUGGAAUUCCUGGUGUAGCAGUGAAAUGCGUAGAUAUCAGGAGGAACACCGAUGGCGAAGGCAGGUCUCUGGGCUGACACUGACGCUCAUGCACGAAAGCGUGGGGAGCAAACAGG
rnacentral:rRNA from 1 species